AACAGUUAUGAAACUUCAUGCUUACAUCGGUUUCAGUGCUGACUUGCUGGCAUAUGUCUAUAAGAGAUGGAACAACAGAUCAUGCACAAACAGUCUUUAUGCAUAAUUGGUACAACAUACUUUAAGGUACCACAAUCUCACAUUCUCUGUAUGAUCUAACCAUGCUUAAUUCGGCAGUGAGUUCUGUACAACAUCAGAUCACUUUAA